UAUGUGUCAUAGCAAUAUCUUUACCAAUACAGCUCCUAGGCCGGUGAUGGUGAACCUAUGACACGCGUGUCAGAGGUGACACGCGAACUCAUUUUUUUGGUUGAUUUUUCUUUGUUAAAUGGCAUUUAAAUAUAUAAAAUAAAUAUCAAAAAUAUAAGUCUUUGUUUUACUAUGGUUGCAAAUAUCAAAAAAUUUCUAUAUGUGACAUGGUACCAGAGUUAAGUUAGGGUUUUUCAAAAUGCUGACAUGCCGAGCUCAAAAGGUUCGCCAUCACUGUCCUAGGGCAUUGGAAACUAAGGAGAAAAUAAACAAAUGGGACUACAUCAAAAUAAAAAGCUUCUGCACAGCAAAAGAAACCAUCAAAAAAACAACAAGAAAGCUCACUACAUGGGAGAACAUAUUUGCCAAUGUUACAUCCAAUAAGGGCCUAAUCUCCAAAAUUUAUAGGGAACUCAUACAACUGAACAAAAGGAAGAUAAACAAUCCAAUUAAAAAAAUGGGCAAAGAACCUAAAUAGAGGUCCUUUCAAAAGAGGACAUACAGAAGGCCAAGAGACAUAUGAAAACAUGCUCAAAGUCACUAAUCAUUCAAGAGAUGCAAAUCAAAACAACAGUGAGGUACCAUUUCAUACCUGUCAGAAUGCCUAUCACCAAUAAAUCAACAAACAACAAGUGCUGGAGAGGAUAUGGAGAAAAAGGAACCCUGGUGCACUGCUGGUGGGAAUGCAGACUGUUGCAGCCACUGUGGAAAAUAGUAUGGAGAUUCCUCAAAAAAUUAAAAAUGGAACUCACAUUCGAACCAGUAAUUCCACUUCUGGGAAUGUAUCCCAAGAAACGAGAAACACUGAUCAGAAAGGGCUGCUAUGUUCAUAGCAGCACAAUUUACAAUAGCUAAGAUUUGGAAACAGCCUAAGUGCCCAUCAGCAGAUGAGUGGAUUAAAAAACUGGUACAUCUACACAAUGGAAUACUAUGCUGCUAUAAAAAAAAAGGAACUUUUACCAUUUGAGACAGCAUGGAUGGAUCUGAAGGGCAUUAUGCUAAGUGAAAUAAGCCAGUUGGAGAAAGAUAAAAAUCACAUGAUCUCACUCAUAUCUAUAAUAAUAAAAGCAUAAUAUGCUAAUUAGACUGGACGUCCUUCCAGACAACUUUCCAGACGAAUCUGGAGCUGCAAGGUAAGCCCGGGUCCCGGGUGCCAGAGGGAAGCUGGUGCCAGGAGACUGGGAAAGGAAUGCCUAUUCUUGCAUGAAUUUUAUGCAUCAGGCCUCUAUUGUGGGAUAUAAUGAACAACAUAAACUGAUGAAAAAAAAUAGA